UACGUAGGGGGCAAGCGUUGUCCGGAUUCAUUGGGCGUAAAGAGCGUGUAGGCGGCCAGGUAGGUCCGUUGUGAAAACUCGAGGCUCAACCUCGAGACGUCGAUGGAAACCAUCUGGCUAGAGUCCGGAAGAGGAGAGUGGAAUUCCUGGUGUAGCGGUGAAAUGCGCAGAUAUCAGGAAGAACGCCUAUGGCGAAGGCAGCUCUCUGGGACGGUACUGACGCUGAGACGCGAAAGCGUGGGGAGCGAACAGG
rnacentral:rRNA from 1 species